AAAUUGAAGAGUUUGAUCAUGGCUCAGAUUGAACGCUGGCGGCAGGCCUAACACAUGCAAGUCGAACGGUAACAGGAAGCAGCUUGCUGCUUUGCUGACGAGUGGCGGACGGGUGAGUAAUGUCUGGGAAACUGCCUGAUGGAGGGGGAUAACUACUGGAAACGGUGGCUAAUACCGCAUAACGUCGCAAGACCAAAGAGGGGGACCUUCGGGCCUCUUGCCAUCAGAUGUGCCCAGAUGGGAUUAGCUUGUUGGUGAGGUAACGGCUCACCAAGGCGACGAUCCCUAGCUGGUCUGAGAGGAUGACUAGCCACACUGGAACUGAGACACGGUCCAGACUCCUACGGGAGGCAGCAGUGGGGAAUAUUGCA
rnacentral:rRNA from 2 species